CACAGAACUUUCCAGAGAUGGAUUGGUGCCUUCGGGAACUGUGAGACAGGUGCUGCAUGGCUGUCGUCAGCUCGUGUUGUGAAAUGUUGGGUUAAGUCCCGCAACGAGCGCAACCCUUAUCCUUUGUUGCCAGCGGUCCGGCCGGGAACUCAAAGGAGACUGCCAGUGAUAAACUGGAGGAAGGUGGGGAUGACGUCAAGUCAUCAUGGCCCUUACGACCAGGGCUACACACGUGCUACAAUGGCGCAUACAAAGAGAAGCGACCUCGCGAGAGCAAGCGGACCUCAUAAAGUGCGUCGUAGUCCGGAUUGGAGUCUGCAACUCGACUCCAUGAAGUCGGAAUCGCUAGUAAUCGUGGAUCAGAAUGCCACGGUGAAUACGUUCCCGGGCCUUGUACACACCGCCCGUCACACCAUGGGAGUGGGUUGCAAAAGAAGUAGGUAGCUUAACCUUCGGGAGGGCGCUUACCACUUUGUGAUUCAUGACUGGGGUGAAGUCGUAACAAGGUAACCGUAGGGGAACCUGCGGUUGGAUCACCUCCUU
rnacentral:rRNA from 1 species